GAAAGUUCUGUUGUGAAUUGGUUCAAACACUUAGACUGCUUUUCUACUUCUAGAAAGAAGGCAGAAUCUAGGAUUUCUGCUCAGGGUGCACAUUACUGCAGAGGCGAGUGGCACUCCAGGAGCAUUUUGAUGACUUAUUUUUAUGUGUGAGCGAGUUGAUUGAAAAUCCUCCUAGCUCCCACUUUACCUGGCCAUUUGGUGCUUGACUUUUGUCUUUGAGUGGAGCAGAACUACUGAUGAUAAUGGCAGCAGUGACUUCAGUUAAAGAAUCCCAGGGACCACCUGAGACUUUCUGCAGCUCCGUGAUUUCAGCUUUAUGACCCUUAAUUGACAUUUCAAAAAGGCUUUCCUUACCAUGUGCUGAUUGAAAAAUAAAUAGUUUAGCAAAGAGAGGUCCUUCUUUCCAUGAAUUUGUCCCCACUGGCCACUUAAAUAGUGUGUGUUUAGGUGAAGUACCCUUUACUUCUGUGGGAGGAAACAAAGACUUUUUAAAACCACAUUAUUGCUGCAGCCCCAGAAGCUGAGAAGAAAGAGAACAGAUGGGUGGCUCUUCUCAAAGAAUGGUGCCUUCAUCUGGAUUUCCUCUUCUUAAACAUUUAUCUUCUUGUUCCUUGAAGGCUUUUAGGAAUUAUUAAUUCCACAGUGGCUGCAUGGUAACUGUUGAUUAGUGGUGGCUUAUUUUGGUGAGUGUGUCCAACAGAGGUACACAAAAGGAAGAUUCUAACCCCAAGAUGAUGUAGCUCUUGAAGAAAGCAGGAGAGACUUCUGGGACUUAUGAUGAUAAAGCAGCACAGAGAGUUCAGAAACUAGGAGGUAUGGAGAAGGCCCCAGCUACUAACAUCAUUAGGAAUAAAGUUUUUGCUUUCCUUCAUAGCUGGAAAUCUCGCUCCUCUGGCUCAGAAAAAUAAAGGGCUCUACCUCUCUUGAGAACCCUCAGCACCUAGGACAAGGAGAAACUUAGUGCUUCCAGUGGAGGGGGCUGGUGACAUGAAGUCUACAAAGUUCCCAAGAGAGGACAAAACCUGAGAGCAUCAGCAUGUCUCAUGCAAACUUCCUCUGCCCCUGGAAAAAACUCUGGGGGAUCCAGGCAGGAGAAGAGAUAAGCUGUGGCCCACAUGGCUCCCUGGAGAGAAAGACAGCUCUGCUCUGGUUUACUGGGCUAACUGGAAGACAGCAUUCCCAGAAAGGCUAUUAUGGAGCAGAAUUGUAGCAACGGUGUUCUUUCCCCCAGCUAGUGGAGCUGAGCUUAUAAUGCAGCUCAGCCUUCAGCACAUGCAGAGAUCCACCAACAGAAAAAGAAGGGCCCUUCUAAUGUUUGUACAGUCCAUAAAUCAGUUCUCUGGUGGAGACAGCCUCACCCUUGUUCUUUUGGUGGUCUUUUCUUUUUUACCCGGUACCUUAACCAGGAACUGACUUGUCUUUGCUCACUUACCUUAACUUGAAAUAUUAUCUUAUAUGUUCUUCCUGUGGUGGAAGAUUGAUUUUUUUCCAUCAUUCUCUUCUCUAAUACCUCUUCUUCAUUAUUUUCUAUUGAAUGCCAGCUCCUUUCCCUCUUCUCAAGAAGAGGGAAAAGACACAUGUCAUAACCAUUUUCCCUAUUGAAGGAAGCUGGCAGUUUUAUAACGUAACUCUCAUUACAUUCCUAAGACAGAGACUGGGAUGGGUGUAGUGCAGUGGUCUUCAAACUUAUUUUUUAAACAUUCACAAUUUUCUUUACAAUUUUUUGAAUUCAUCUCUUAGUUACAAAUUCAUUUAUUUGUAAGUUAUACAUAGUUGAUUAUACUAAUCUGUGCAUUUAAAAACACAAAAAUAAAACAUUUAAAUAGUUGAGUUAAAUUUGAAAUAUAUAAUAUUAAUUUUUUAUCAAUUUUAGCUAGUCUCUUACAUCACUAUAUAUCAUCAAGGCAAAGUUCAUCAUUAAUAAUAAUGGAAGUAAAUGUGUAAUUGUUUCAGCUCACAGUGUAGCCGAUAAAGAGAUUGUUCUAGCAGGAAAAGUAAUAGGACUUCCACUUUUUGGUUGUUUGCUUGUGCUUGCUUUAUGAAGAGUCUCUUUAAUUUGCAAUUUCUCACAGGAAUCUUUUUAAGCCCCUCAUUCCUUUUAUGAUGGUUAAUGUAAUAAAAACUAGAUAAGAUCAUCUGUAAACUUAUGUAGACAGAUACAUGUACAUUAUUUUUGUCUUAAUAUUCAAUAUGCUGAAAGUGCAUAAUGUGUGAGGUUCCCUACUGUUAAUGGCCCUGGGCCAUAGAUUCACACUCAGGAAAGCAUGUGUACUGUAUGUGAAAUGAAUCCAUCUCAAAUAGGCUCUGAGUGUAUCAUUGCCAAUAUGCACAUUACAUAUCUGUAAACCUUAUAUUUAUUAUGUUAUAGAUACAAAUAAAUAAAAUGUUAAGUAUUUUCUUCCCAGUCCAAUGAAUCAUUUCGCACAUUCAUCAAUGUGUGGACAGCCUAUAUUAAGAACCAUCACCGGUUUAGUGAAUGUGUAAGAGACUCUUAGUGAUCCACCAUUAUCUCACUUGGAAACCCUAAAAACAACAGAUGCCAUAUGAUCA
rnacentral:lncRNA from 10 species